rnacentral:lncRNA from 1 species
AAGGUAAUGUGUAUAUAAACCUUACCCGUACCCGAAAAAAUAGAGAGGUCGUUUCGGAAAGACAGUAUAUUACAUACAGAAAUAUGUAAUAUAUAUAAAAAAUAUACACAUUUGACUAUUAUUUUAAGAGCAUCUAACAUAUAGCGCUUUACACAAAAUCAGACUCUUUAACCAAGAAACAAGGGAAUAUGACGAGCACUACAGUUAGAUAUCACUGUGCAACCUUUUGGGAAGUUUUGGCCAACCAAAUGAUCCGAGCGUUCCAAUUUUUGGAGGAACUUCUAAUCACAAUACACAUCGUUAAGACAAGCAACAUCCAACUUGAAACUUCUAGAGAAUCCUUUGGCUAGUUUAUGAGGAGUCUAUGAAUUUUAGAUUCUUUAUUAUCUGCAAAAAUAAAUAAUCACAUAAUAUGAUAGUCAAGCAGUCAGUUCAAUUUAAACGUUCAUAAUUACGAGUUACAAGGAACCCUAUAUUAGCAAUCCCUAUAUUAGCAUAUCUGUCAAGAUAAAGUGGAAUUCCUCUGAUUCAAAGAGGUGAUGAUAAGUCGAUAAUUCUAUCUCAGAUUACAUGGAACUCUCAGGUUUUCAACUAAAUCAAGUCGUAUUUAAGCCAACUAAACAUGGUAAAAUUAAUACUGCUCAUUUUCAUUUUGUCCUUGAGCCGAGGGAUUCCGGAAACUGCCUACCUUCACAGGGUACGGAUAAGCUAUGUGUACAUAUUGCCCUCCACAAACCGCACUCGUGGAACUAUACUAGGUAUGUUUUUGUAGAAAACAUGGGAAAAUUGGAUAAAAAUCCAGAAAAAUUUUUCACCCUAAGAUUUUUAUAGUUUUAACUGCAAACAUGAUGAAAUUUUUCAGAAAACAUAUCCAUGCUGUGAUGCUGAGAUAAUAUAAAACUUACUUAUUUGUGUUCUCUGCUUUUCCUUUUCUGGCUCCUUCAGGAAAAAAGAUUUCUUUCUGCAC